AUGGCAGGGUUUGGCAGCCUGGCGCCCAAGACGAAGAACGUGGUGGUGGCGGGCGGGCUGACUGGGUUCGUCUUUGGGGUGUACUACUACACCAUGUGGGCAGUGGGCAGCACCGACGAGCUGCAGGUCACCAUCGACAAGUUUGAGGACCUGAAGAAGAAGGAGGCGGCCGCCUCCACCGCCGCAAGCGCCUCCACCCCGGGAUCCUCCUAA
rnacentral:rRNA from 1 species